AGGCGAACGAGAAGAUCCAUUCGAGUGUGUGGUUUUAAGCCUCUGCGUUUCUAACGUGAUAUUUCGAAAUGCAUCGUGAUUCCUGUCCUUUAGACUGCAAGGUUUAUGUAGGCAAUCUUGGAAACAAUGGCAACAAGACUGAAUUGGAACGGGAUAUUAUGGCCCCCUCCGAAGUGUGUGGGUUGCUAGAAACCCUCCCGGCUUUGCUUUUGUUGAAUUUGAAGAUCCUCGGGAUGCAGCUGAUGCUGUUCGAGAGCUAGAUGGAAGAACAUUGUGUGGCUGCCGUUUAAGAGUGGAAUUGUCAAAUGGUGAAAAAAGAAGCCGGAAUCGUGGUCCACCUCCCUCUUGGGGACAUCGCCCUCAGGAUGAUUAUUGUAGAAGAAGUCCUCCACCUUGUCGCAGAUCUCCAAGGAGAAGCUUCUCUCGCAGCCGGAGCAGGUCCCUUUCUAGAGACAGGAGAAGAGAGAAAUCACUGUCUCGGGAGAGAAAUCAUAAGCCAUCCCGAUCCUUCUCUAGGUCUCGUAGCCGAUCUAGGUCAAAUGAAAGGAAAUAGAAGAUUGGUUUGCAAGAAGAGGAGUGGUGUACAGGAAAUAACUUCAUUUGACGGGAGUAUGUACAGAAAAUUCAAGUUUUGUUUGAGACGUCAGAAGCCUGGUGCAUUUUUAAGAUGUUUAGCUGUUCGAAUUUGUUUAUUGUCUCUUGUAACAAUGACACAUGAAGAUGUAAUUCUCUAUGGUUUGAAAUGGAUCAUAUGAGGCAUGUGAUAAACAAGAAUUUAUUACUUUACAAUGUCCCCUUAAGCAAAAUUGAAUUUGCUUUGAACUUUUAGUCUUGCCUAGACUCAUAAUAAACCUCUAAAUCUUGCCCAGCUAAAGUGUGAUGUUUUAAUAUUACAAAAAUAAAUCUGACAAAAAUUGA